CUUCUUUCAAAGGUGGAUUGUGAGCUUAAAUAAACGGUGACCCCAUAUUUUUAUUUAACUUUUCCAUUAAGUAAAGGAUAAAGUUUAUUUAUAGAAAAAAAUAGCGAAAUGCUAUAUUUAAAAAAAAAAUGAUUUAGACCUGUGAGCCCCCUUAAAUAUAUGAUCACGACGAUGGGCAGUUAUUUAAUGACCAGUAUCAUUGCACACAGAGUUAUUUGAGAUUGCUUUCUCCACGAUUGAUUCAAUAAUAUGGGUGACGAUUCUCCAUUCCUCAGAAUAAGUUAAAAAAAAAUUUAGUAAGGGAUAAAUAAUUUAAAGAUUCUUACAAGGACUCAGUUCUGCCAUUUGUAAAAUCUUGACCCAUUGCUUUGGUUACAUUAACGUUAAUGUAAGUGACCUAGAAUGCCCCAGUAGUUACUAUUGCAUUUUGAUUGAUGCUCUUUUUAAUGCGAAAGUUUCUUCCUUAAAAUUACAAAUUGAACAAUAAAUUAGUAAAUUACGCAAAAUAAAUCAUUAUUUUCGGUAAAUAAAGCACUUGACAGCCGGGCUAAUAGGGUUGGUAAGGCAUAGUUUUUUAAUAAAUAAUUUGGUUUUCCUUCAAAUUGGAUUUUUCAAACGCUGAGGAAAAUUGAAUUGGGUUUUCUAUCGUUUUAAUUGCGUAAUUUAUGCAAAAACACAGCUUAUCAGGAGCUCUGGAUAUAUUUUUAUUUAUUAUUGGCAUUUUCUU
rnacentral:lncRNA from 1 species